rnacentral:rRNA from 1 species
AUGCAAGUCGCACGGACCUUUCGGGGUGAGUGGCGGACGGGUGAGUAUCGCGUAGGGAUCUAUCCACGGGUGGGGGAUAACAUCGGGAAACUGGUGCUAAUACCGCAUGAUACCUGAGGGUCAAAGGCGCAAGUCGCCUGUGGAGGAGCCUGCGUUCGAUUAGCUUGUUGGUGGGGUAAAGGCCUACCAAGGCGAUGAUCGAUAGCUGGUCUGAGAGGAUGAUCAGCCACACUGGGACUGAGACACGGCCCAGACUCCUACGGGAGGCAGCAGUGGGGAAUAUUGGACAAUGGGCGAAAGCCUGAUCCAGCAAUGCCGCGUGUGUGAAGAAGGUCUUCGGAUUGUAAAGCACUUUCGACGGGGACGAUGAUGACGGUACCCGUAGAAGAAGCCCCGGCUAACUUCGUGCCAGCAGCCGCGGUAAUACGAAGGGGGCUAGCGUUGCUCGGAAUGACUGGGCGUAAAGGGCGCGUAGGCGGUUUACACAGUCAGAUGUGAAAUUCCAGGGCUUAACCUUGGGGCUGCAUUUGAUACGUGUAGACUAGAGUGUGAGAGAGGGUUGUGGAAUUCCCAGUGUAGAGGUGAAAUUCGUAGAUAUUGGGAAGAACACCGGUGGCGAAGGCGGCAACCUGGCUCAUUACUGACGCUGAGGCGCGAAAGCGUGGGGAGCARACAGGAUUAGAUACCCUGGUAGUCCACGCUGUAAACGAUGUGUGCUGGAUGUUGGGUAACUUAGUUACUCAGUGUCGAAGCUAACGCGCUAAGCACACCGCCUGGGGAGUACGGSCGCAAGGUUGAAACUCAA